UAGGCCGGGAACUCAAAGGAGACUGCCAGUGAUAAACUGGAGGAAGGUGGGGAUGACGUCAAGUCAUCAUGGCCCUUACGACCAGGGCUACACACGUGCUACAAUGGCAUAUACAAAGAGAAGCGACCUCGCGAGAGCAAGCGGACCUCAUAAAGUAUGUCGUAGUCCGGAUUGGAGUCUGCAACUCGACUCCAUGAAGUCGGAAUCGCUAGUAAUCGUAGAUCAGAAUGCUACGGUGAAUACGUUCCCGGGCCUUGUACACACCGCCCGUCACACCAUGGGAGUGGGUUGCAAAAGAAGUAGGUAGCUUAACCUUCGGGAGGGCGCUUACCACUUUGUGAUUCAUGACUGGGGUGAAGUCGUAACAAGGUAACCGUAGGGGAACCUGCGGUUGGAUCACCUCCUUA
rnacentral:rRNA from 1 species